CACAUCUUUUGUUAUUGUAGUUGUGUUGUAUGUUUUUCCGACCGAGAGUACAUGCGCUGAGGAAAAAAGCCCGACGAGUUCAAUUAGGAUGAGUAAAUAAUAUAUAUAUGAGAACACAAGCGGUAGUGACUGUUGUUGCGAGAUAAGCGAAUUAUCGUGCACCGCGGAAUGUCGGACGGCAAACAUAACCUUGUCGUGAGCCAUUAAUAAUGUAUUGUAUAACAAAAUAUUAAUUCAUUCAUAAAUAUACGCGGAUUAUUAUCAUCUUCGUCGUGCGUUUCGCUUCACGCAUGUCAAAGGCUGUAUUAGUGACAUUGUCUUAUUUCGGAUUCCAGUAAAUUAAAAUAUUUGUUGCUUCAUGCAUUGGCAUGCACUGCAGUGGAUCUAGUGAUAACAUUCACUGCAGUGAUGACAUCGAUGAAGACGACGAUCAGGAGGUGUCUUCUUUGCAGGAGGAAAUGAACAUUGAAAAUAUCUUAACAUUUAUUUAUGUUAAGUAUGGAAUGCUUGCCGAGCUCUAGGAUUAGUCACUACCGAAACUUGAUUUUGCCAUCUGCUUGGAAAGUAUAUACAUAUUUUAAAAUGUAUUUAGCAAAGGAAUUGACUUUGUUGAAAUACGUUGUUAGACAGAUAAUGUUUGUCUUUCAAGUUCAAGAUCUGAAAUAUAUAGUGGUCAGCAACAAACAAUGAUUUAUUAAAGUGGUUCAAUUGUUUAUGUGUACAUUAAUGUAUAUCUCUAUUUGACAUAAGGUUUUAAACGAUAUCACAAGAAAUUACAGCAGAAUUUAUGGAGCAUACAAGGUUGACAGUAUCUAUAUCUGUUGCAAUAUCUGUAAAACAUAUAUCUGAAAAACAUUCUCUGAGAGGUUAUCUAUAUAGAUGAACAAAACUAUUUGCCAAAGAUAUACAAGGAGAUAGGAAAAAAUAAUUCGUUGUAAAACAUAAUGUUAAAAUGUACAAAAUAUUUUAUGAAAAUGUUUGUACAUUCAUGCUAACUGUAUUAAAUAUCAUAAAACAAA